UACAGGGGGGGCAAGCGUUGUUCGGAAUUACUGGGCGUAAAGGGUCUGUAGGUGGCCAACUAAGUCAGACGUGAAAUCCCUCAGCUUAACUGGGGAACUGCGUCUGAUACUGGAUGGCUUGAGUGUGGGAGAGGAAUGCGGAAUUCCAGGUGUAGCGGUGAAAUGCGUAGAUAUCUGGAGGAACACCGGUGGCGAAGGCGGCAUUCUGGACCACAACUGACACUGAGAGACGAAAGCCAGGGGAGCAAACGGG
rnacentral:rRNA from 1 species